rnacentral:rRNA from 1 species
CUGAGGCGUGAUGGGGAAGGUUCUACGGAACCGAAGUAUCUGAUUCCAUGCUUCCAAGAAAAGCAUCUAGAAAGAGAAAUAGUGCCCGUACCGCAAACCGACACAGGUAGAUGAGGAGAGAAUCCUAAGGCCCGCGGAAGAAUUGCAGUUAAGGAACUAGGCAAAUUGACCCCGUAACUUCGGGAGAAGGGGUGCCUGCGAGAGCAGGCCGCAGAGAAUAGGCCCAAGCAACUGUUUAGCAAAAACACAGGUCUCUGCUAAAGCGAAAGCUGAUGUAUAGGGGCUGACGCCUGCCCGGUGCUGGAAGGUUAAGGGGAACACUUAGCGUAAGCGAAGGUGUGAACUUAAGCCCCAGUAAACGGCGGCCGUAACUAUAACGGUCCUAAGGUAGCGAAAUUCCUUGUCAGGUAAGUUCUGACCCGCACGAAUGGCGUAAUGACUUGGGCACUGUCUCAACUGCAAAUCCGGCGAAGUUGUAGUGCGAGUGAAGAUGCUCGCUACCCGCGAUUGGACGGAAAGACCCCGUAGAGCUUUACUGUAGCUUAGCAUUGAAUUUCGGUAUUAUCUGUACAGGAUAGGUGGGAGACUAGGAAAUCAGGACGUCAGUCUUGAUGGAGUCAACCUUGGGAUACCACCCUGAUAUUACUGGAGUUCUAACAGGACGCCAUGAAACUGGUGACUGGACAUUGUUAGGUGGGCAGUUUGACUGGGGCGGUCGCCUCCUAAAAAGUAACGGAGGCGCCCAAAGGUUCCCUCAGAACGGUCGGAAAUCGUUCGAAGAGUGCAAAGGCAGAAGGGAGCCUGACUGCGACACCUACAAGUGGAGCAGGGACGAAAGUCGGGCUUAGUGAUCCGGUGGUACCUCGUGGGAGGGCCAUCGCUCAACGGAUAAAAGCUACCUCGGGGAUAACAGGCUGAUCUCCCCCAAGAGUUCACAUCGACGGGGAGGUUUGGCACCUCGAUGUCGGCUCGUCGCAUCCUGGGGCUGAAGUAGGUCCCAAGGGUUGGGCUGUUCGCCCAUUAAAGCGGCACGCGAGCUGGGUUCAGAACGUCGUGAGACAGUUCGGUCCCUAUCCGUCGCGGGCGUAGGAAAUUUGAGAGGAGCUGUCCUUAGUACGAGAGGACCGGGAUGGACUGACCUCUGGUGUACCAGUUGUUCCGCCAGGAGCAUAGCUGGGUAGCUAAGUCGGGAAGGGAUAAACGCUGAAAGCAUCUAAGCGUGAAGCCCACCUCAAGAUGAGAUUUCCCAUAGCAUAAGCUAGUAAGACCCCUUGAAGAACACAAGGUUGAUAGGUCAGAGGUGUAAGC